rnacentral:miRNA from 2 species
CAGGUCGUCUUGCAGGGCUUCU